AUUGAACGCUGGCGGCAGGCCUAACACAUGCAAGUCGAGCGAGCGGCGGACGGGUGAGUAAUGUAUGGGGUCUGCCCGAUAGAGGGGGAUAACUACUGGAAACGGUAGCUAAUACCGAGUACUAUCGGUUGACCCAGAUGGGGUUCGCUAGUAGGUGGGGUAAUGGCUCACCUAGGCGACGGUCCCUAGCUGGUCUGAGAGGAUGAUCAGCCACACUGGGACUGCGACACGGCCCAGACUCCUACGGAGGGAGCAGUGGGGAAUAUUGCACAAUGGGCGCAAGCCUGAUGCAGCGACGCUGCGUGGGGGAUGAAGGCUCUCGGGUGGUAAACCUAUUUCGCUAGCGAACGGGUAGGUGGAGAAGAAGCGCCGGCUAACUACGUGCCAGCAGCCGCGGUAAUUC
rnacentral:rRNA from 1 species